GACGAACGCUGGCGGCGUGCUUAACACAUGCAAGUCGAGCGGUAAGGCCCUUCGGGGUACACGAGCGGCGAACGGGUGAGUAACACGUGGGUGAUCUGCCCUGCACUUCGGGAUAAGCCUGGGAAACUGGGUCUAAUACCGGAUAUGACCAAGGACUGCAUGGUUUUUGGUGGAAAGGUUUACUGGUGCAGGAUGGGCCCGCGGCCUAUCAGCGUGUUGGUGGGGUAAUGGCCUACCAAGGCGACGACGGGUAGCCGACCUGAGAGGGUGACCGGCCACACUGGGACUGAGACACGGCCCAGACUCCUACGGGAGGCAGCAGUGGGGAAUAUUGCACAAUGGGCGAAAGCCUGAUGCAGCGACGCCGCGUGAGGGAUGACGGCCUUCGGGUUGUAAACCUCUUUCAGCAGGGACGAAGCGAAAGUGACGGUACCUGCAGAAGAAGCACCGGCCAACUACGUGCCAGCCGCCGCUGUAAGAC
rnacentral:rRNA from 1 species